CGUCACUAGUUAGCGAAAUUUCUAGCAAUUAUUGAUUUGACUAAUUUAUGUCAGAAAUGAAUUGAUUGGAUACGGUUAAUUGAAAUAGUACAAGUAGUGGGUAUAAUUUAUGCCAUAUGCUUAAAUUCCUAUUUAGAUAAUUUGUUUGACAUCUUUUUUGACGGGACUAUAUUAACGUUACGCGGAAGAAUACUACGUGCGAAGUCAUGUUGUAGAGAACUUAUAUGCGUGAACAGUAGCUUACCGUGGCAUAGUGCAACUGAUGUUUGAGCCGUGAACAGUGUGAAGAGGUAAGUUGCUGUUAGUAAUAUGUGGGUGCUGUGGUGGAGGUGAUUCCCUGAUGAGCUUAAAAGUUCGUAACAACGAUGAAAGGUAAUGAUAUACAGGGUGAGUACAAAGUUUUGCCUUGUUUAUAAAAAAAUUAUCAAUCAUCGACGCGGUCAGUUAAGGUCACGUUAGUUGCUGGUGAAAUGGCGUCGAAGCAGGAGAAAGCGCAAUGUGUGCUUUGGUUUCACGAAACUUAAUCGCCCAGCAGUAUUCAACGUAAAGUUCGGGCUUAUUAAGGACGCAGCCCUCCUGACGUUAAAUCAAUAAACCGAAGGUGUGCAACGUUUAACGAAACAGGCAGCGUUGAAGAUCACCUUCGAAGUGGCAUGCCUCGUGAGUGAUACAACAGUUGGUAGUGUUCGGCAAUAGUUUCAACGGAGUCCCUCUAAAUUACCUUGUGUAGCAGGAUCACGUGAACUUCAAAGAUUCAUCAAAGGUGUAGGUUGCAUGCUUACAAAGUGCAAAUCGUGUAAGCCUUGCAACCGAAUGAUUUUCUGAUAUGUUGCUAAUUUGCAAUUGAAAUCCUCAACAGGAUUGAUGGCCCUAACGUUUAUUUAAAUAUGCUUUACCGAUGAAUCAACCUUUCAUGUUAGUGGGAUGGUAAAUAGGCAUAAUGUCCGUAUAUGAGGUUCCGAGUCUUCAACAUUCUACUGUAGUUACAGCUUAAAAGUGAAUGCUGCCUCAUGCAUAACAAGGUUUUUCGACCGUUUUUCUUCGCGGAAAUAUCAAUUACCGCUAACAGUUACUUCGACGUUUUGCAAUAGUUCAUUCCCACACAGAAGAAUAUCAACCAGGGAUAAUUUUCCAGCAAGAUGAAUCAAUGUUCAAAUAACACUAAACAGAAAAGCGUAUACUUCAACUGUACUAGCAAGCCUUAAUAAUAAGAAUAUGGAGUACUCCUAUAUCGCACAGUGGGCUUUGAUGGUGCGUGAUUUCUUGGAUCGGUGAAUUGGAAGGAACGGUCCAACAUCCUGGCCAUCCCGCUCUACAGGCAUUACGCCCCUUGACGACUUUUCUUGAUUUCUUUUAAAAAUCAUCAAGGACAUAGUCUUCGUCACAGCAGUUGCUGACGUCGAUGAACUAAAGGUCAGGAUAAAAGCUGCUGUGGGUACUAUGACAGAACGCAUGUUACGAAGCACCUGUCGGAACUAAUAACACUCAAACUAAUAACCGCAUCAAAUGUAAAUCAUGUCAAACGGUUUUUCUGUAAUUGUUUAAUCAGAGCAACACUUUGUGCUCAAUUUUUUUUUUUUUUUUUUUUUUUUUUUGGACAUUCCGUGGACGAUUCGAGCGAAUGAUUGGUUGAGUUGGACCACGCGACAGGAACCCACAUCGACCAUCUCAUAAUGGAGAGAUCAGCAAGGCUGUGCAAGAAAACUGGAAGCAGAGACAGUGUAAAAGGAUUGGGUUUGUUUCGG